AAAAAAAAAAAGAAAGAAAGAAAAAAGAGAGAGAGGAAAGGAAAUAUUUUUUUUAAAUAAGAGAAGCAUGAAAAUGGCAACUUAGUAUUUGGAAAAAAUAUGUGCAGAAGAAUAGAGACCCAAGGGAGCCUGGUAUAACGGUGUAUAGUUUCCUUCCAAGCAUGUUGCCAGAUAAACCCUAUGACUCGGCACAUAAACCUCCGAAUACGCAGAAGUUUUGUUCGCCUGUUCUUCUGCGCAUCACCCUUUGAAGAGUGUGUUUUUCCACUGCUGUCCUGUGGGGACCCAUCAGGAGCAGAAGAGGUGAAAGGCAUCCGCCCAUCCGACAGGUAGAAAUUUACACGAGUUGACAAUACAUUUGGAAAUGAGAAGCUAUUGUUUCCUCCCAUCUUCAGAGCCAGUUUACAUUGACAAAAGAAAAAAUUAAAGAAAAUUGAGAUUUCCUUUAAUAAAUACAUAUUACCAACUUUUUCUCAUA